GGAAAGCUUCUUCAAGAAGCUUACUUAGAUAUUUUUUGGAAGUGCUCUCUCUCUCUCUCACUCUCUCUUCUCUCUCUCUCUCCUACGACUCUCUCUCUUCGAUUCCGAGCUAGUUUUAUGCCGAAUCGACGAACCGAAACCACCACGACGCUCCUGGCGAAAUUCUCUACAAGUCUGCCGGAACGGAUCGUCAGGAAAACGAAAUUGGAUUUCAUCCCAAAUCCAAGUUCCAGGGUGUUGAUUGGGAACGUAGGGAAUCAUCCCUAAGUUGAGGAGCCCCUAAUAGGGGAGCGGGAAAAGCCCUGCUGAUCUAGAUUAGUUGUUUGCCCUCUUUGGAAGGGUAAGUUUUUGGUAGGGACAGUUAGGUUUUGUGGGGAUUGUCCCUAGAUUUCAUUUUUGAGAUGUAUAUAAUGUGAGAUAGUAAUUGUAGUGACUCUGGUAUGUGUUAUGCACAUUAUGAUGAGAUGUAUAUGAUUUUAUAC